rnacentral:rRNA from 1 species
UACGGAGGGUGCAAGCGUUAAUCGGAAUUACUGGGCGUAAAGCGCACGCAGGCGGUUUGUUAAGUCAGAUGUGAAAUCCCCGCGCUUAACGUGGGAACUGCAUUUGAAACUGGCAAGCUAGAGUCUUGUAGAGGGGGGUAGAAUUCCAGGUGUAGCGGUGAAAUGCGUAGAGAUCUGGAGGAACACCGGUGGCGAAGGCGGCUCACUGGCUCAUUACUGACGCUCAGGCGCGAUAGCGUGGGGAUCAAACAGG